UACGCAGGGGGCUAGCGUUGUUCGGAUUUACUGGGCGUAAAGCGCACGUAGGCGGAUCAUUAAGUCAGGGGUGAAAUCCCGAGGCUCAACCUCGGAACUGCCUUUGAUACUGGUGAUCUUGAGUCCGGGAGAGGUGAGUGGAACUGCGAGUGUAGAGGUGAAAUUCGUAGAUAUUCGCAAGAACACCAGUGGCGAAGGCGGCUCACUGGCCCGGAACUGACGCUGAGGUGCGAAAGCGCGGGGAGCAAACAGG
rnacentral:rRNA from 1 species